GACGAACGCUGGCGGCGUGCUUAACACAUGCCAGUCGAACGGAAAGGCCCUGCUUUUGUGGGGUGCUCGAGUGGCGAACGGGUGAGUAACACGUGAGUAACCUGCCCUUGACUUUGGGAUAACUUCAGGAAACUGGGGCUAAUACCGGAUAGGAGCUCCUGCUGCAUGGUGGGGGUUGGAAAGUUUCGGCGGUUGGGGAUGGACUCGCGGCUUAUCAGCUUGUUGGUGGGGUAGUGGCUUACCAGGGCUUUGACGGGUAGCCGGCCUGAGAGGGUGACCGGCCACAUUGGGACUGAGAUACGGCCCAGACUCCUACGGGAGGCAGCAGUGGGGAAUAUUGCACAAUGGGCGGAAGCCUGAUGCAGCAACGCCGCGUGCGGGAUGACGGCCUUCGGGUUGUAAACCGCUUUCGCCUGUGACGAAGCGUGAGUGACGGUAAUGGGUAAAGAAGCACCGGCUGACUACGUG
rnacentral:rRNA from 1 species